CGGGGUGAGUAAUGUCUGGGAAACUGCCUGAUGGAGGGGGAUAACUGCUGGAAACGGUAGCUAAUACCGCAUAACGUCACAAGACCAAAGAGGGGGACCUUCGGGCCUCUUGCCAUCGGAUGUGCCCAGAUGGGAUUAGCUAGUAGGUGGGGUAACGGCUCACCUAGGCGACGAUCCCUAGCUGGUCUGAGAGGAUGGCCAGCCACACUGGAACUGAGACACGGUCCAG
rnacentral:rRNA from 1 species